rnacentral:rRNA from 1 species
ACGCUCGACACCUACGGGAGGUAGCAGUGGGGAAUAUUGCACAAUGGGGGAAACCCUGAUGCAGCGACGCCGCGUGAGUGAAGAAGUAUUUCGGUAUGUAAAGCUCUAUCAGCAGGGAAGAAGAUGACGGUACCUGAGUAGGAAGCCCCGGCUAACUACGUGCCAGCAGCCGCGGUAAUCUGAGCGGGCUGGCAAGGC